GAUGAAGAACGUAGCGAAAUGCGAUAAGUAAUGUGAAUUGCAGAAUUCAGUGAAUCAUCGAAUCUUUGAACGCACAUUGCGCCCGCCAGUAUUCUGGCGUGCAUGCCUGUUCGAGCGUCAUUUCAACCAUCAAGCCCCCGGCUUGUGUUGGGGACCUGCGGCUGCCGCAGGCCCUGAAAUGCAGUGGCGGGCUCGCUGUCACUCCGAGCGUAGUAGUUACAUCUCGCUCUGGGCGUGCUGCGGGUUCCGGCCGUUAAAAGCCUUAUUUACCCAAGGUUGACCUCGGAUCAGGUAGGAAGACCCGCUGAACUUAAGCAUAUCAAUAAGCGGAGGA
rnacentral:misc_RNA from 1 species